AGUCGAGCGGUAACAUUUCUAGCUUGCUAGAAGAUGACGAGCGGCGGACGGGUGAGUAAUGCUUGGGAAUAUGCCUUAUGGUGGGGGACAACAGUUGGAAACGACUGCUAAUACCGCAUAAUGUCUACGGACCAAAGGGGGGGGUCUUCGGACCUCUCGCCAUUUGAUUAGCCCAAGUGAGAUUAGCUAGUUGGUGAGGUAAUGGCUCACCAAGGCGACGAUCUCUAGCUGGUUUGAGAGGAUGAUCAGCCACACUGGGACUGAGACACGGCCCAGACUCCUACGGGAGGCAGCAGUGGGGAAUAUUGCACAAUGGGCGCAAGCCUGAUGCAGCCAUGCCGCGUGUGUGAAGAAGGCCUUCGGGUUGUAAAGCACUUUCAGUAAGGAGGAAAGGGAUGUAGUUAAUAACUGCAUUCUGUGACGUUACUUACAGAAGAAGCACCGGCUAACUUCGUGCCAGCAGCCGCGGUAAUACGAGGGGUGCAAGCGUUAAUCGGAAUUACUGGGCGUAAAGCGUUCGUAGGCGGUUGAUUAAGCAAGAUGUGAAAGCCCAGGGCUCAACCUUGGAACUGCAUUUUGAACUGGUCAACUAGAGUACUGUAGAGGGUGGUGGAAUUUCCA
rnacentral:rRNA from 1 species